UACGUAGGGUGCGAGCGUUGUCCGGAAUUACUGGGCGUAAAGAGCUCGUAGGUGGUUUGUCGCGUUGUUCGUGAAAUCUCACGGCUUAACUGUGAGCGUGCGGGCGAUACGGGCAGACUGGAGUACUGCAGGGGAGACUGGAAUUCCUGGUGUAGCGGUGGAAUGCGCAGAUAUCAGGAGGAACACCGGUGGCGAGGGCGGAUCUCUGGGCCAUUACUGACGCUGAGGAGCGAAAGCGUGGGGAGCGAACAGG
rnacentral:rRNA from 1 species